AGGCCUAACACAUGCAAGUCGAACGAAGCAUUUCUACUAAACAUUUUCGGAUGGGAAGGAAAAAUGACUGAGUGGCGGACGGGUGAGUAACGCGUGGAUAACCUACCAUAUACAGGGGGACAACAGUUGGAAACGACUGCUAAUACCGCAUAAGCGCACAGUGCCGCAUGGCGGNUGUGAAAAACUCCGGUGGUAUAUGAUGGAUCCGCGUCUGAUUAGCUAGUUGGUGAGGUAAUGGCCCACCAAGGCAACGAUCAGUAGCCGACCUGAGAGGGUGACCGGCCACAUUGGGACUGAGACACGGCCCAAACUCCUACGGGAGGCAGCAGUGGGGAAUAUUGCACAAUGGGCGAAAGCGUGAUGCAGCGACGCCGCGUGAGCGAAGAAGUAUUUCGGUAUGUAAAGCUCUAUCAGCAGGGAAGAAAAUGACGGUACCUGACUAAGAAGCCCCGGCUAACUACGUGCCAGCAGCCGCGGUAAUACGUAGGGGGCAAGCGUUAUCCGGAUUUACUGGGUGUAAAGGGAGCGUAGGCGGCAAGGCAAGUCUGAUGUGAAAACCCGGGGCUCAACCCCGGGACUGCAUUGGAAACUGCUUAGCUAGAGUGUCGGAGAGGUAAGUGGAAUUCCUAGUGUAGCGGUGAAAUGCGUAGAUAUUAGGAGGAACACCAGUGGCGAAGGCGACUUACUGGACGAUAACUGACGCUGAGGCUCGAAAGCGUGGGGAGCAAACAGGAUUAGAUACCCUGGUAGUCCACGCUGUAAACGAUGAAUACUAGGUGUCGGGUGGCAAAGCCAUUCGGUGCCGCAGCUAACGCAAUAAGUAUUCCACCUGGGGAGUACGUUCGCAAGAAUGAAACUCAAAGGAAUUGACGGGGACCCGCACAAGCGGUGGAGCAUGUGGUUUAACUCGACGCAACGCGAAGAACCUUACCAAGUCUUGACAUCCUUUUGACCGGUCGGUAAUGCGACCUUCUCUUCGGAGCAAAAGUGACAGGUGGUGCAUGGUUGUCGUCAGCUCGUGUCGUGAGAUGUUGGGUUAAGUCCCGCAACGAGCGCAACCCUUAUCUUUAGUAGCCAGCAUUUUAAGAUGGGCACUCUAGAGAGACUGCCAGGGAUAACCUGGAGGAAGGUGGGGAUGACGUCAAAUCAUCAUGCCCCUUAUGACUUGGGCUACACACGUGCCACAAUGGCGUAAACAAAGAGAAGCAAGACUGUGAAGUGGAGCAAAUCUCAAAAAUAACGUCUCAGUUCGGAUUGUAGUCUGCAACUCGACUACAUGAAGCUGGAAUCGCUAGUAAUCGCGAAUCAGAAUGUCGCGGUGAAUACGUUCCCGGGUCUUGUACACACCGCCCGUC
rnacentral:rRNA from 1 species